rnacentral:lncRNA from 1 species
CUCAAAUAACACAUAUGCUUUCUAUAUUUUGCCCUAUUUAAAUUUACUACCCUUGUCAGUCCAAAUUGAAGUCCUAACACUGUUGCUAAGUAACCUCCAUGAUUUAACACAGUAGUCCUCAAAUGAUAACAUGCAUCAGAGUCACCUAAUGGUCUUGUUAAAAUACAGAAAGCUGGACUCGGUUCCAAGAGCUGAUUCAUUGGUUUACACAGGGCUUAUACAGAUAAGACAAAGUACCAUGCUCUAGAAAUCUAAGAAGCAAAUCAUUAAUAACUAUGUGAUACUAGUUAGUUUCUGUGUUUGCAGAGACCAGGAUUCCUUUUAAUUUUCUUUGUUUUCAAUUUUGAAGGUAGAUGUUUUCCUGACCCUGUUCUACUUACUCCAUCUUUUUUUCACAGACAUCAAUACAUCUGAGGGUAAUUUACAAGUGGUGGUUCUCAAGCCUUCGUGAAUAUCAAGUACUUUUGUUUGCUUCAUCAGCUAACUGAGCAAAUUUAAAAGAAGGACUCUACUUCCAUAUUGAUUAAAAGCUUCUAGUAUUUAAAUGCAUCAAUUGAAAUGUGAUUCAGUUCAGCCCAUAAUUUCCCACUUGGAAAUUCUCAGCUAAAUAAGAAUACAAGAAAAGUUCUCAACUAGUAUUUAUAGUUUUUAGUGAAUUCCAUAAUAUAGAAGACAUUGACCACCACAGAUCACUGGGGAUACAUGGUAAAAAUCAUUCAUUCCUUCAGGUUCAUUAAAAGAUAAAUGGCAAAAAGCAGAGCUGAUGAGAAUGGUCAUUUUCAAAAAGAAGUGUGGAAGUACAGACUGAAGAUUAUGGACAUGGCAAUGGACUAGGUUUACAUCUUAUUAUUAAUGUUGCUCAAGUACUAAGAAACAAACAAACAAACAAAAAAAAACAAGAGUCAUUAGGGGCCAACAUAACUCUGAAUUAGCAAUGUUUUUUAAAAUUAACAUUUUAAAAACUUCUUUGUGUAACAUGAUGAGAUCUAAUUAUUAAGAGACUAUAAAAGAGGGGCUGGAGUUGUGGCUUAGUGGUAGUAGCACAAUAGCCUAGCAUGUAUGAAGCACUGGGUUCGAUCCUCAGCACCACAUAAAAAUAAAUAAAUAAAGGUAUUGUGUCCAUCGACAAGAAUAGCAAAUUUUAUCCAAUAUAUAUAACCUAGUAGUUGGAAAUAUGUGCUCAAGGUCAUAGACCAACUCAGCAAGAGAGAUGGGACUAAAAUAGUUGUUUUGUGAGUCCAUCAUUCCAAGACUCAUAAACUGAGAAAAAUUUCCAUCCUUCUUCUUUUGUUGAAAAAAAAAUGAAGGUUAUUUAAAAAAUUAAUGCCAGAAGAAUCAUUAAUCAAUCAUGCUAAUAAAAAUAGGGUCAAUUUUCUUUUUGCUUGUUUUAUUGUAAACAUUAUUAGUACAGUUAUUCAUAAAAGUAUCUGGUUUUUCUUGUUUUAGUAUUGCUUUCAUGCUCUGAUUUAUUACUGCUGCAAGAAUUUUCAGAAUGCUCAAAAUUAGUGUUAAAAAUUGUAAUUUGUAUUUAUAAGACAAACCCAUCCAUCUGGAAAAAAAUAUGAUUCUUGGUAAUCUUUGAUUAACAUUUGCCUUCUUCCUUUUUCUAGCCUCUGGUAACCGCCAUUCCAUUUUCUACUUCUGGGUUCAACUUUUUAAAAUUUCUCAUGUAUGUGAAAUCAUGUGGUACUGUCUUUCUGUGCUUGACUUCUUACAUUGUCCUCUAGAUACAGCAAAUAAUAGGUGAAUAGGGUUCAUUGUAUGCAUGUUUUAGCCUGUUCCUGCUGCUGUAAGGAAAUAUUACAAACUCAGUAAUUUAUAAAUAAAACACAUUUGUUUCUUAUAAUUUUGGAGGUUGUGAAAUUCAUGUCAAGGACAUGGGAGGCAUUUUAGCUUUUUGGU